UACGGAGGGUGCAAGCGUUGCUCGGAAUUAUUGGGCGUAAAGGGUAGGUAGGUGGUCUCAUUUGUCUGGGGUGAAAGCCUUGAGCUUAACUCAAGAAGUGCCCCAGAAACGGUGAGACUAGAGUCCUGGAGAGGGUCGUGGAAUUCCCGGUGUAGCGGUGAAAUGCGUAGAGAUCGGGAGGAACACCUGAGGCGAAAGCGGCGACCUGGACAGGAACUGACACUCAACUACGAAAGCGUGGGGAGCAAACAGG
rnacentral:rRNA from 1 species